AGACGUGAGAAGACGUUCAUAUUCAUCUGCAGCCUUGACGAGCUGGAUGUUGAGUAGUAUUAUGUGGCAAAGAGCAGUGAUUACUACAGUAGCAGGGGAGGCGCUCACGUACCUGUGCGACCCGGGAUCAGCUUGAAUUGAACUACAGUGAGAGUGGAAAUGGGACACAGGCUGGGCGGGACACCGGGAGGAGAGACGACAGCCAGGGUGGCACGCUGACUGGAGGAGUGCCAAACCCUCUCAACCAGCAUGCGACAGGCGUGGACAGUAAUGCCUGUGUGAUUGGGUGAUGAUUUUAAUAAACACACACACGCUGAGGGGGCCACAGGUCAACAGUGUUUGGAUUCAUCAGCCGCACAGCCCGACAUUCGAGAACUGCCCUUGAAGGCUUUGAUGGUUCCUGCAGCUCUUUGAGACCCUGCAUUGAAAAACAAUGAAUGCACUGCUCGACGGACAGAAGGAUGUUUGCAAAGGUACAAGUUCUGAUUCUGAAAUAAUGAAUGUGUACAGUUGAAGUACAGCUCCACUCUGAUCCACUCUCUGGAUUUCACGAAAGCAGCAGUUUAAGAAGUUAGAGGUACCUCAUGAUUUAAUUGUAGAUUUAGAAACUUGUGUUGUACUUGGAUAAACAAAAAAGGUGGAGUUAUUCUACAAAAUAAAAUUAAAGAAACUCCACAUUUGUUGUCUGCUGAAUAUAUCAGAAUGCAAUAAAAUAAACCAC